rnacentral:misc_RNA from 1 species
AAGGAGCGUGGGGAGGAAGACUUGCCUAGCCACUAGCACUAGGUGUGAGAGUUUUGAGUCGUGGUGGUGUAUAAAGCAGUCGUCAAGCACAAGCUCCUCCUCUCCCUCUCCCUCGUCUCGCCUGAGCAGAGCCAAGCCCAUCCAUCGUUCCACACCUCCGCGAUACGAUGUCCGUCCCUCCUGCCCGACUCGCCGCGUCCUCGCUCCCGCUGCUCCUCGUCUGGCUCCAGCUCCAGCUCCUCCUCGCGUCCGCCUGCGACCGCUGCGUGCGCCACUCCAAGGCCGCCUACUACACCUCCGCGCUGACCCUCGCCGGCGGCUCCUGUGGGUACGGCACCGAUGCCGCCUCCUUCAGCGCCGGGUUCCUCGCCGCCGCCAGCCCCGCGCUGUACCGCGCCGGCGUCGGCUGCGGCGCCUGCUUCCAGGUGCGGUGCAAGGACAAGAAGCUGUGCGGCGCGGCGGGCGCCAGGGUGGUGGUCACGGACCGCGCCAGGACCAACCGCACCGACCUCGUGCUCAGCAGCACCGCGUUCGCGGCCAUGGCGCGCCCCGGCAUGGCCCCACGCCUCGCAGCACGCCGCGCAGUCGACGUCGAGUACAAGAGGGUGCCGUGCGAGUACAAGCACAGAAACCUGUCGGUGAGGGUGGAGGAGAGGAGCCACGCUGCGGCCCCGGCCCCCGGCGACCUCGCCAUCAGGUUCCUCUACCAGGGCGGGCAGACCGACAUCGUCGCCGUAGACGUCGCGCAGGAGUGCAUGCAGGUGGGUUCGUCCAACUGGAGGUUCAUGACGCGCGACGACGGGCCGGCGUGGAGCACGAGGCAGGCGCCGCCGGGCCCGCUCCAGCUCAGGGUGGUGGUGACGGGCGGGUACGACGGCAAGUGGGUGUGGGCCGACCGCGAGGUGCUGCCGCGGUGGCGGCGCGCCGGCGAGGUCUACGACACGGGCGUCCAGAUCACGGACGUCGCCCAGGAGGGCUGCUUCCCGUGUGACACGCACGAGUGGGAGGAGGAGUGACGGCACCAGCAGAGCAGAGGCUGCAACGGAACUCGCUGAGGACUGGAGCCUGCGGGCUGCGGAGUUGAGUUGCUCUGUCUGCCUCCUCCGUGUCAGUGUCACUCGCUGCCUUUCUUUUUUUGAGUUUUGCCGGAGUGGCACUUUUAACGACGAGAGGAGAGAGCCCCGAAACCCCUCUCCCUCCCCUGUACAUGAAUUAGCUGCAUGCGUCGUCGUCGUUGCCAUGGCCGUUGUUUCAACCGGAUCACAUGCCUCGUCGUCGUUGCUUUCUGCCAACACUUAAACACUUGUACUAGUAGGCUAGUAGCUUCGUUAUUUAUAUAUAUAUUCUUCUGACGCGGGCCGGAAGAAACUCUCCAUGGCCACCGAUCCGUCUGGUGCCAGGACAGAACAAGCGGUGCCGGUGAGCGAGACAGAGAGGCGCCGGCCCGGCGGCGGCACGACUCGCUGUCCGUCUCUGCACCAGGACAUUGGGCAGCAAGCGUACGCUUGGCCUUGAGUUGAUUAUUACUAUUCUGAUCCUCACAAGUCACAAUCAGUUGCUAAUGUCGCAGUCAGCAGUACCGAUGAUGUAACGCUAAGCAUAUCUCUCGCCCGCUUCGUUGGUUCUUAUCCGUUAAGCUAAGAGCAGGUUGCGUGGAUAUUAAACAGAUUCAUGCGUUCGUCUGCUUAGGGUUGGGUUGGGACUUGGGAGGCAUGGCUUUGUUUGCGUUGCGUUGCGUGUGUUAUGUGAAGAUUGGUCACCAACCAUAACGGUCUUGCUGAAUUUCUGUUCAGACAGUCACACGCUGAAUUUUUGGGUUUGUUGGCUUGGAUUGAAUUUUUGGGUUUGUUAGCUUGGAUUAAAGCCAGCUUUGUUCGUACUGUUCCAACUAUAAUUUGUAGAGACAAAACAUUGUAAAAUUGUAGUAGAAGUCAAUAUGAAUUAAAGCUGAGCCAACCGGCCGUUUGUUCUCGGGCAAAACGAGCCUGUUCCUCUGGUAGUUUGUUUGUUUGUUUAUCUGACGAUGAAGUGGGCUGCUGAUUGAUACAGUAUUAUUGACGAGUGCUGACACGGCAGGGACGGAACGCGACGUUGUUUUUUAGUAGACAAUAAACUACCAAGGUGCCGCUGCAGAGGAAAUGGCUAUGCGUUGCUUUCACAACAAGGUCGGGCGUCACGCUUGAGUUGAGUCACUACUGUGUCUUCCUGCUGGUGAAGUUGAGUUUGGUCGCCGCCGACUGAAUGAGUGCACCGGUGAGAAGGCUGGGGAGGUGAAGCUUAAGGUCCUUUCUGUGGGUGUUUGGUUUGCCCCUGCUAAAAUUUAGCCUCUAUCACAUCGAAUGUUUGAACCUCCGUUCGGGGUAUUAAAUGUAGUCGGAUUAUAAAACUAAUUUCUCAGCCGAAGAUUAAAAAGUGAGACGAAUUAGUA